rnacentral:RNase_P_RNA from 1 species
AUGGGCCGGCAGACGGUCGCGUCACCCGCUACCGGCUUCGUGCCGGGUGGCGGGUGCCGAGGAACGUCCGGGCUCCACAGAGCAGGGCGGUGGGUAACACCCACCCGGGGUGACCCGCGAGACAGUGCCACAGAGAACAGACCGCCACGGGCUCCGGCCCGCGGUAAGGGUGAAACGGUGGUGUAAGAGACCACCAGAGGCCGCGGUGACGCGGUCGGCUCGGUAAACCUCGCCCGGAGCAAGGUCAGACAGGAUGCGCCAAGGCUGCUCGCUCAGCAUCCGGGUAGACCGCUCGAGGGCUGCGGUGACGCAGCUCCUAGAUAGAUGGCCGUCAGGGAUCCGUCCCUACAGAACCCGGCGUAUCGCCGGCCCAUUCAC